CAGAGUGAGACUCCACCUCAAAAAAAAGAAAAAAGGAAAACCAAGCAAAAGUCACUGUCAGGGGACCUCCCACCCACCAUACAGGGGAACACUCGGCAGAGCCAGAGGCCUGGGCCCAAGUCCUGCCACCAGCUGGCUGUGAAACUGUGGUACAGCACCUUGUGUCCUGCCACCAGCCGGCUGUGAAACUGGUACAGCACCUUGUCCUCAGGUCCUUGGUUUCCUCACUUGUAAAUUCAUGGUUCUCCAUGGCAUCUCUGGUCUUCAACAUUAUUUUGCAUAGAGUCUCAGAAGCUUUAGUGUGAGCGGAUGAUAUGGGCACGAAGCAAGGCACCCAGAAGUGGGGGCAACUACUCUGCUUUCUAAAAUGCAAGGGAACCGGAAAAUCCAGGAGCCGUGCCAAAGUCUAUGUUCCCUUUAUGAGCUGUAACGCACACCAUGAAGGUCUGCGGCUUGGCUAUUGAGUCAGUGAGAGCGUGAACCUACUAUUAGAAGAAAAACUCUGAAUACGUCUGAACGUCAGAAAGAACGAAGUUUGGACACAUUGUCUUUAAGAACUGUAACACUCACCCCAAGGGUUUAUGGAUUCAUUCUUGAAAUCAGUGAAACCAAAAGCUUUCCAAAGUUUAACACACAGGGAAAUGACUUACUGCAAAGAACCACUCUUCCCCACGAGACUUCGAGAAGACCCGCUGUCACGGACUGAGUUGUGUCCUCUUAAAAUUCAGAUGUUGGAGUCCAAACCCCCAGUAACUCAGAGUGUGAACGUAUUUGAAGAGGUCUUUAAAGAGGUGAUGAAGGUCUUUGUCUCUGACAAUUUGCCUCUGUGACGUGGAUGGGACUGGAAGUCCAUUUGGAGCCCUGUCUUCUCCACCUAGGGAGAGAGACCCCAUGAGCUCGUCAAGCUCCUUCUGUGACUGAUCAGAGAUCCCACCGUGAGUCCAGCUCCUGGUCCCAUGCUCUGGAUAUAUCGGUCCCUGGCAGCGUGAGUGCCUCUGUGUUCACUGUCCCAUUUGAGAAUUCUAAGUAGAAUUCUGAACAGGCUGGAGCAGAUUGCCCACCCCAAGGGACAGAUGUUGGCUGGUACUGUUGGUAUUCAUGGAAGAUUCCUUCUGACACUCCCUCCUUCUUUGUAAUUGCCAUGAACUGGAGCACUGGGCCAAUAUAAAUCAUCCAAGGGUGAACACGCUGCACAUGGACGGCUCCUCUUUGUUUUUGAAGGGAUUCCAUCUCUAUUUUGCCAUGUGCUCCUUCACCCCACUCCCCACCCCCGUCUUUCAUUUCUUUCUCUGGAAAAGAUACUUCAACUCACAGGACUGCGAUGUUGAAACGGACACCCAAGAGCAUCACAGAUGGGCCAGGCCUGGACCUCUCGGGACAACAUUCCUCACGACUUUUAGAUAGAAGAGAUUAGAGAUUUGGGACUGGUGGCAACUGGUAACGUUUUCAGUGUUUGGUAAACAGCCAGGGUCCGGAGCUCUGGGAACAGCCUGAUUUAGCUCUUUGUUUAAGUUUUGUGUUAGAGGCUCCCAAGAAGCUGAUGCAGGGGAAAGAAAUUAACAACCAUGGCUCAUUCACAGCCAGGCAGCCAAAUGGACAGCUCUAUAAGACUCAAGCCGACAGCGGAGAGAGUGCAACCAAACAGCCUUGGCCCAGCUUUCAGAGGAGAACGUUAUUCACCCCAACUGCUCUGCAUCUGCCUGGAUGUCUGCCAAGAUCUGUGAGCAUUACAGCGUUGGUAUGCUUUGGGUGAGGCCUGUGGCUAUGGCAACAAGUUGGGAGCAACCCGGUCCCUGGGAAUGAGAACAGUGUCUAAAAUCAGGCAGGCGAGGGGCAGGGAGGAGAGGUAAAGGUUGGACUUGCCUGAAGAUGGAGCCGUUUUAUUGUUGUGGGUAAAGCUGCUACCAUUAGGGGCUGUUUACAGAGUGGGUGCAGCUCAAGCUGGGAGCAUGUUAGACUCAGCGACUACGAUCAACCUAUUGACUUGUUCCCAUGAGACAGAGUAAAUUAACUGUUGCAGUACUGGUCAUGUACCACCAACCUCCUGUGAACCAGCCCUCAGUGAAACAUUUAUGUGAAAGGCCAUGGUGUUCCCAUAAGAGGGUGCAUGUUCUCUCCCUUGACUAACUCUUCAGUAUGCCUCAUUCUCACGCGCUGGUGUGCAGGAAGGAGUCCAACAUGCCCCAUUGACAGUCAUGCCCUGUAUGUGGAAAGUCUUCAGGUAGAGCACUGGGCUCAGGUUUGAAGAUGUGAGUUCUAAUCCUAGCAAGGCCAUUACCUCCCAGUGACCUCAUGUCUCGAUUUCCUCAACCACAAAACAAAGGCAUUGGUGAGCUGACCUCUAAGGCCUCUCCAGUUCUCACCUUCUGUGUCUCUACAGACUGGAGACUAGAAGAUUAUGGGCACUUUUAUUGAGUCUUCAUUUUGUUUCCAUUUCUUUGUAGUCAUCAGCUGGAGUUGAGGACAAGUUUUAACAAUAGAUAGGUUUCUUUUUGUCUCUUUUUAAAAAAUUUUAUUUAAAAUAAAUGCCAAGUGUAGUGGCUCAUACCUGUAAUCCCAGCACUUUGGGGAGGCCAAGGUGGGAGGAUUGCUUUUGAGUUUGAGACCAGCCUGGGCAACGUGGUGAGACCCUGUUUGUACAAAAAAUUUUAAAUUAGCCAGGCAUGGUGGCGUGUGCCUAUAGUCCUAGCUACUCUGGAGGUAGAGGCAGGAGGAUCCCUUGAACCUGGGAGGUUGAGGCCACAGUGAGCUGUGAUUGUGCUAUUGAACUCUAGCCUGGGCAACAGAGCAAGACCCUGUCUCUUAAAAAAGACUAUUUUUUAAGAACACUUUUAGGUUCACAGCGAAAUUUGGAGGAAACUUGGCAUAUGUCAUAUGCCCCCUGCUCCCAUGCAUGCACAGCCUCUACCAUUAGCAAUGUCCCCACUCAAAUGGUACCUUUGUUGUAAUCAACAACCCUGUACUGACACAUCAUCAUCACCCAAACUCCAUAGUUCACAUUAGGUUUCACUCUUGGUGUGGUGUACAUUCCAUGGGCUUGAACAACUGUAUAAUGACAUUAUCCACCACUGCAGGAUCAUACAGAGUAGUCUCACUGCCCUAAAACUACUCUGUGCUCCACCUGUUUGUCCCUUCUUUCACUCUAAACUCCUGGCAACAACUGACCUUUUUACUGCCUCGAUAGCUUUGCCUUCUUCGGAAUGUCAUGUAGUUGAAAUCAUACAUCAUGAAGCCUUUUCAGAUUGGCUUCAUAUAGGUUUCCUUCCUUCCUUCCUCCCACCACCUUCCUUUCUUUCUGUAUUCCUAACUCUUGGAUGUAUUUUCCCCAGCAUCAUGACUUGAUGGGACUUUUGCUAAGAUAGGCAAUCAUAGAAAGUCAUAAAUCUCUUGUCAGCCUUAUUGGCUCACCUCCGAGAUGGUUCCAACACUCUUUAAGGCCCACUUUUCCAAUCCACAGAUUCCCCAGCAGAAGUCCAAGCUGCUGAGCCUCACAUCAUCUUUUGCACUAGUAAUCUUUACCACUACUUCACUGUAGCAUUUGAAAAUUUUCAUAUGAAGCCAUAGUUCUGUGUCUUUUUUUUUUUUUUUUUUUUUUUGGAGACGGAGUCUUAACCUGUUGCCCAGGCUGGAGUGCAGUGGCACAGUCUUAGCUCACUGCAAGCUCCGCCUCACGGGUUCAAGUGAUUCUUGCCUCAGCCUCCCAAGUAGCUGGGAUUACAGGCGCGCCACCAUGCCCAGCUAAAUUUGUUGGCAUUUUUAGUAGAGAUGGGGUUUCACCAUGUUGGCCAGGCUGGUCUCAAACUCCUUACCUCAGGUGAUCUGCCUGCCUCAGCCUCCCAAAGUGCUGGGAUUAAAGGUGUGAGCCACCGCACCUGGCCUGAAGCCAUAGUUCUUAACCUCAGUUGUGCAAUAGAAUUAUCUGGGGAAUUUAAAAAUUAGAAAAAACCCAUGCCCUGAAGAUUGUGAUCUAACUGGUCUUGCGUAGCGCCUGGGCAUUGGUAUUUUUUAAAUGUUUCCCAACUGAUACUAAUGUGGCCAUUCUGCAAGCCACAGUUGAAAGGCUUAUUCAAGCAUCCUGUUGCUGAAUGCAUGUCGUCCUUACCACAUGACUCUGGAGGUUUUCUUGUAUUCUGAUGUGGCUGCCCUGUUGAGGCCUGCCCCUUAGAGUGGAGAUUAUCCCCUGCAGUAGGCUGCCUGGAAUAUGAUCCCCAGUGAUCCCUGCUUCCUGGUAUUCAGGCCCUGGUGUGAUCCCUUUCCCUUGAAGCCUGGGCUGGAUUAGUGACUUGCUUCUAACCAACAGCAUAUGGC
rnacentral:lncRNA from 1 species